rnacentral:rRNA from 1 species
CGCGCAGCAGUCGGGAAUUUUGGACAAUGGGGGCAACCCUGAUCCAGCCAUGCCGCGUGAGUGAAGAAGGCCUUCGGGUUGUAAAGCUCUUUCAGACGGAAAGAAAACGCAUCGGUGAAUACCCGGUGUGGGUGACGGUACCGUAAGAAGAAGCACCGGCUAACUACGUGCCAGCAGCCGCGGUAAUACGUAGGGUGCGAGCGUUAAUCGGAAUUACUGGGCGUAAAGCGUGCGCAGGCGGUUAUGUAAGACAGAUGUGAAAUCCCCGGGGUCAACCUGGGAACUGCGUUUGUGACUGCAUAACUAGAGUACGGCAGAGGGAGGUGGAAUUCCGCGUGUAGCAGUGAAAUGCGUAGAUAUGCGGAGGAACACCGAUGGCGAAGGCAGCCUCCUGGGCCAGUACUGACGCUCAUGCACGAAAGCGUGGGGAGCAAACAGGAUUAGAUACCCUAGUAGUCCG